AUUUCACAUCUCACAACUUCAUUCACAAACACAAUUUCCUUGCCGUGACCUCCAUCCAUUCAUCUAGCCAUACUACAUCUCACCAAUCCAUACACUUUCAUCUCUUAGUUGUGCAAAUCCAUUCCAUCCAUAUAUCCAUACACAUCCUAGACACUUGUGCUACAACAAGGUGGUGAAAACAAAGGUCCUUGGCGUUUUAAGCUUGGAACCUUGGAGCGUUUUAGGUGUACUUCGUUCUUGCUUUCAAUGUCUACUUUGUUAUUUUCUAAUUUUGUUGCAAUUAUGAGUGACUAAACCCCUAUUUAGUUAGGGGGAAGUUUGAAGCCAUGAACAUGCUUGAUAUUUGAAUUGAUUUCUUCCAAUUGUGAUUUGAUAAGUUAUGAUUGCAAUUCAAUUAUCUAUUUUAUUCAUAACUGAUUCUUGUAUGUUUAUGAAGGAUACAUACUUAGUUUUGAUGCAUGAAUUAGAUGCUAGAAUAUAAAUGAGUUUCACCUAAUCGUUACCAGUUUAUAUUCAUGAGUAGUGAAGGUUGUUUAUCACAAUCGCGUUAAUUGAAUUCUUGGCAAUUGUAUCAUGCAUUCAUAGUUAUAAUUGCCUCAUCAACACUUAUGAUUUUCAUUGAACGUAAUGAUCUCUGAUUGUAUCUCUAUUAUGCAAUUCAUAUAGGGGACUUUUAGAGAAUGAUUUGGGUUGUCGCAUGCAUUCAUCCAAUUCAAUGAGUAAAGGAAAAUCUAAGGGUUAAUUUGUGCAUCACGGUUAAUCUGGGGUGUUGAGCAUCAUAGUUUAUUGAAAAGCAAUUGGAAAUCGAUUCAUGUACAAGUGUGUCAUGUGUGAAGAGCGGACCUCUAACUAAUCCAUCCAUAAUUUUAUUUCUCAAAUUCAUUUUAUAAUCUGCCUAGUUUUAUAACUUGCUUGUUUAUUUCGAAUUCGUCAAAACCAAAAUCCCCCUUUUACUUUGUUGUUUCAAAGUGUUAAAUUUCUAUUUCGUUAGUGUUUUUGAGUGUUUUGAUUCAAACCAAAACACUAAAUUCAUCCAAAGUUGUGUUAGAGUCAAAUCUGCCCAGUAAGUGUUUUUAGGCAAUUUUGAGUGAAUUUAAGUUGUUUUGCGUCUUUAGAAUUUGUUUUGAGUCCCUUGAGUCUAUUCAAACAUUUUUAACUUUGUUUUUAUGUUUUUGAGUAAGUUUAGAGGUUUUAGCAAGCCCUCAUAAUCCCCGGUUUAGAACGAUCCCUACUUGCGUUUAUACUACAAUUUGACAACAAGAGGGUUUAAUUUGAGUGCUUAACUUUCAUCGCAUCAAAUUUUGGCGCCAUUGCCGGGGAUUAGCAACUUUGCUAACCCCCCGUUGUUUCUUUUUCAUGUCUUUUGUUUUAGUUACCGACUUUGUUUCUAUUUGUGCCUUUUAUUUCUACUUAUGAUAUUUGAUUUAGUUUUGUUUCCUUGAUUUCAGGUACUAGAGAAGUAAGACAUGAAUUUUGCUACCAUUCAAGCUCAAUUGGCGAAACUUACUUCUCAAUUGUCACAAUAUGCCGAAGGGACCACAAUUCAAAGUGUCCCUACAUAUGGUGUGUCCUAUUAGCAAGGAUAUCCAACUCAUCAAUGUUCUCAAUUCGCUGCGAAUGAAGAUGCUUGGGGUUAUCAAUGCCAUAGCCAAUCAUGGGCAACAUGUUUUCCAACGUUUACAAUUCGGAUUGGAGAGAUUAUUCAGAUUACAUGUGGGGAGAACCUCAACAAUUCCAACAAGAUGGGUAUUGGCAGCAAGAAGAGGAGUUCUAUUCAAGGCCUAUGCAGCCACCACAACAAUCUUUCCUAAUUGAAUUCAAGUACGUCUUUGGAUAAUGAUAUGUUUAAUAAGUUACUCACCUCUUUGAACCAGGAAGUAGAAAAUGGAAACAAAGAGAUGCAAAGUCAAGCCAAGAAGACGGGUGAAUUGGAGAAGCAAAUUGGGCAGAUUAUGGAGUUCAUGGCACAAAUUCAAGAGCAAAGUGAACUCACCAACUCAACUAUUGAAAAUUUGAAGGAAGAUUUUGAAAUCCAUGAUGCUAUCAUUUUGGGAAGUGCUAUAGAGGUUGGAGGUAAACCCAAGACAUCCAAACCAAGCCAAAACAUGGAUGAACAACUGCUGCUCGAAGAAGAGGAGAAUAACAAGGCCACGGCAAGGGAAGAACCACCAUUGCCGCAGCCUCAUAUGCCCUCUAUGUCGUCCAUUAUAACCAAGGUAAGCCUAAAUUCAAUUUGUCCUGACCCCGUUUCACCAAAUGUCCUUAUUCCUUGCAGGAUCAUGCAAUCCAAGGAAGAAGCGGAUGAGAAAGGCAUCUUCGAAACCUUUCCAAAGAAUCAAGAGCAAGAAGUGGAUGGGGAAUGUCUAGAAUUCAUCAAAGAAUAUACACUUGAGACAAAAAUUCCCAAAUAAGUUGGAUUUUCUGACACGGGACAAGUUAUAACUCUCAAAACACCAAAUCUGGCCAAGUCCCAUAUCUUUGCAACCUUCAAAGAUGUUGUGUUCGUAAUUGAGUUUGUGUUGGAGCAAGCAAGUAAGCCAUCUUCUCCAACUUCAAUUUUAUUAUAUACUAACUUGCUGAUUUUGAUGAUUCAGGCACCUACACUAGAAUUUAAACCAUUGCCUGAUCAUGUCAAGUAUCACCAUCCAUUCAAGGAUCAAUUCCAUGCUAUGGGCCCUAUCCAAGUUUAGAAGGAAGUUUCGUCUGGCUGAAAGACGUUAAAGCAAGCGCUUCUUGGGAGGCAACCCAUGUAUUCAAAUAAGGAAUUUUUUGAAUCGCUCCACAAGCAGUUUUGUGUUUCUAAAAACCUUCCCUUUUCUGCAGUUUUAUUUUGCCAUGAUUAUCAUUUUUAUUUGUUGCUUGUUUAAUUGUUUUUGGUGUGGGUUUAUUUUUGAAACACUGACAGAUAUGCAAGGUAUUUUUACAUUCAUUUUCAUGAAAAAAAAAGGAACAUUAAGCAGUAAAAUACAAAAGUGAGCCUUCACAAAGGCUGCUUAGGAGAAGUCUCAGUAGUCGGUGGAGCCUCAGUAGUCGACGGAGCCCUAGAAGGAGGAGGCAUCGGAGGUUGAUCAUUUGGAGCUUCAUUACACGGUACAGCCCCAGAAGACGAAGGCAAAUGCUGUUGGAACAAACCCACAAACCUCUGAUGAUCAAGUAAAAUCUGACCAUCAGAUUCCUGCAUCUGGUCAAUCUUCCUCUUCAUGUUUGUAGCAUAGUUAUGUGAGAGCUUAUGCAACUGUUUAUUCUCAUGCUUGAGCCCUCUAAUCUCCUGUUUGAGACUCAUCACUUCAGCCGCCAACGAUUCAACUUGACGGGUUCGAGCAAAUAGGUGUUGGGCCAUAUUGAACACAAAACCGGCACACUGUACACUGAGAGCCAGAGAAUCCUUAACAGCCAGCUUAUCAGACCGUUUGGAAAGUAGUUUGUUAUAUUUAGGGGCGACAAGGUUCCGGGCCACCACCGCAGCAGUCAUGUCAUUCUUCAUCAUCGAAUCCCCAACGGUAAAAGGAUGGGCGCCAUAUGUUGUCUGGAGAAGGCAUGGCAGCCUCUUCACCAAGGUUCAAGUCAAAACGACGGUCGGAAGGGCCAGACAUUUUCAAAGGUGUUGAAGAAAGAAGAGGUCGGACAAGUCAAGAUAUUAGAAGUGCAAGAAGGGAGUUUAUACAAGUGCAAAUUCAAGUGUGCUUUGAAAUGAACUGCGUGCCUCUAUAAAAAUCAACACUCGACGGGAUUUCAGAUAUCGAAGAGGCGAGCUCAGAAUUCAAAGAGGUCAAUUCAAAAAUCGAAGAGGGGCUAGCUUUCUCAAAAGUUGGGCUUGCUCAGAAACCACGGGCCAUCCUCUGUUCUAGAUUUGUCCGCACUCGUCACAUGCAACCUCUGGACUCGACGGAGCUCAGAACUUGAAGAUGCAAGCUCAGAAAUCGAAGAGCCAUCUGCUUUUCCAGACGUAUCAGCAUCUCUCACAUGCACGCUCAGCUUUGCAGAAAUCACAGGCAGUUUGUCGAAGCGUCGAUUCCAGAUAUCGAAGAGGCGUCUGCUUUAUCCAAACGUGUCAGCAUCUGUCACAUGCACGCUCAGCUUUACGAAAAUCACGGGCAAUCUGUCGAAGAUUUCUGGUGAAGUAGAAAGCACGUGAAGUUUAUUGUUUAAUCAUCCAACGGUUGCCGACAAGAGUGAAAGAAUAGUACCGGUUAUUAUUUCCUAUAAAUGUCGACCUUCACCCUCCAUAGCAAAGCAGACAUACAUAACCUUCCGUCAUCUCCGAGAAUGCCUUCCCAACGAAGCCUCUUGAGUCACUCAGUGUUCCUUAUUCCUUGGGGUACCUCUGCAAACAACUCAUCCAAAGCAAAAGUAUUUCAUAUCAUGAAGGUUGAAAGCAAGAGUAUCUCAUAUCAUGCUUUCUCCCUGUCCUUCUCCUUGUCGUUGUUUUCAUCUACGAGACAAGGAGAAAGAGAGCAAUCAGCCAGCACUUGGUAUCAAUCUUCCGAUCUGAAACUGACUGCCUGGAACCCCUUCUUGAUUGCUUACCUAGCCCUGCUCUCGAGUACUCAUCUUCAACAUCUUAUGCUUCCUCUUCGUCUACCACAUCUGCUUGGGGAACAGAUAAGGGAAGUGAAAAUGAUACCUCGAAGCAUGUGGAGACAAGGUACUAAUUCAUCCUCAGCUAGGGACAAGGAGAAAGAAAGCAAGAGGUGGGCACUUGGAAAGAUUGAAGAAAUAAACAGACCAUCACUUCUACCUCGUGCCUGUCUGUCGUGCAGAAGAAACAAGCAGAGAAGAAUGCAGACUGCACAAUCAAAUCAACCCAGCAGAAGGAGUCUGAUUUGAAACCAAGGAACUCUCGCUUAGAAUUCCGAACCAGUUCGAGAUCAAAGCUGUGGAAAGACAACAAGAUCACCUAUCUCUAAAACCAGAUUUGCGUUCUUAAACUCUACUCUGUCUGGUUUUUACUUUGCCAUACUUGUCAUGUUUAUUCGUUGUUUGUUUGUUUGCUUGUUUGUGUGUGAGUUUAUGCUUGAAACAUUGAGGAUAAUGUUUGAUUUAAGUGUGGGGGGGGGGGUAACCAAGUUGUUUUGCAUGAAAUUCGUAGGAGUUUAUCACCCAUUACUUCUAGAGUUGUUCCUUGCUGUUUUAAGUGUUUUUUUAAGAUUUUUUGGAGUGUUUUAAUGUGUUUUGAUAUAAAAAUCCGAAAAUCUCAUAAAAAUUGGAAAAAUUGUUUUGAAAAACCCAAAAAGAGUUGUUUUUGUAUGUUUAUUUGUGUCUUAGGGUACCUUCCAACACAAUGAUGAGGAUUUGGUUUUUAAUUACAUGACUGUUAAAGAGAGUUAUAAACAUGGAUGAAAAUUUGAUUUACUCUUUGAUGUAUGCUUGGUUGUGGUUAUAAUUUAAGAAUUCACAUGCAAUCAUAAAAGGAAAAAUCAGUUUUUUUUGUAACAUGCUUGAAAGAAGGAACUCAAACUAACGUUACAUCAUUGAGAGACUUAGGCCUAAACAUUUAUUUGGAGUUAUUGAUCUGUGCAAUUUUUUUAUUUUCUAAAGUCGUUGCAUGAUCUCAUUAUUCUUUGCUUGGUUGCUACUUAGAAGGCGUUUCAUCAUUUAGUUCCAAAUGCUUGAACUCAUGCUUAUUUCAUUCAAAGCAUGUUAUUGAUUUGCGUAACACAUAUUCAAGAUGAAGUUGUUUAGUGAGCCAAGAGCCAAAAAGCCUAUCUCGUUCAUUAUGUGUUUAAGUUUAACCCCGUUGAGUCUUGUGUUGCCUAUGUUCUUUGUUACCCACGCUAUCCUCACCUAGCCUAGAUUAGGACCAUCCAUACCCUUGUUCUUGAAGCAUAGUAAAGCAUAAUUUAGAAGGAAUUCCUUUUGUUGAACUCUUGCAGAAAAACAAGUGUGGGGGAAGUGAUUCUUGUGUGUGUGUGUGUGCCAAAGUCCUUCAUAAGGCACGGGUAGAAAAGGAAAAGAAAAAGAAAAAUUCGUGGAAAAUAGAAUGAAAAGAACAAAAGUUGUGAAAAGAGUUUAAAAUUUUAUGAGAAAGAGCUCUAAAGUGUUGUUUGUUGAAGAAAGGGUCCAAAGCAUUGAAUUCGACCCUAAGUGUUGCAUGAAUCUUCCCUUUGUGUUUAAAAGUUGAUUUUUGCAUUCUAAAGUAAAUUUCAAGUGUCGAUUCCAUUACUUUGCUUGCUAUCGCUUUAAGAACAUUUGUUAUUCCUAUCCUUUCUUUGUUAGCCAUUACCCCCAAGCCCUGUUACAACCCUUGACUUCAAUCUUGAGUGUUGUGUGUUUCAAUUUGUGGAGUUUGAAAUUGAUAUGAGCAUAUGGUGUCACUGGUUCUUGCAUCUAAGUAGUAGCAUUCCAUUCAUGAGAUCAUAUAUAUACAUGAAUUAAUAAUUCCAGAAAUUGCUUCUUUGUUGAAAAACAUAUGUGAGUACUAGAUUUCAUGUUUACAUCAAUCUUCUCACAUAUACCUAAUAUAGGGAGUGUAGUCAGAAAUUCUUGUGUGAAAAUAAGAAUGUAUCUAGUAAGGAAUUGAGAAAAUUCUCUAAGGCAUGUUACUAUAUUCAAAAUGCUGUUUUAAUUUAUUAAAUGUGAGCUAGUGAAUGGUGACUAUGAUUAAGUAUGCUCGAGGGUAAGGAAUGCUUAAAUCUAUGUAAGUGGUGAUCUUUGGCAUGUCAUGUUUCAUUGAAAAUCCUUGACGCAAAUGUUGGAAGGUUAGGUUAUGUUUUCUUUGUUUUGUUUGUUUUGUUUCGUUUUGUUUCUUUUGUUUUGCUCGAGGACUAGCAAAAGCUAAGUGUGGGGGAAUUUGAUAGGAACAUAUUUAUGCGACUUAGUUAGCUUGUUCUUGUGCAUUUGUGUUGUUAUUUCUUAGUUAAUUAUGUAUUUUAAGCUAUUUUCGUGUGUUUGUAGGUCAUAUAACAAAGUUGGCAAGAAAGUGCAUUUUGGAGCAUUUUUGAGCAUUUUUGAGCCAAGAUUGGAUAGUGCAAGCAUGGAGACAUGAGGAUGGACAUUUUUGAAGAUUUGAAGGCAAGAAAUCAACAUGUGUGUGUGCAAGUGCGUUCACCUACAACUCCAAACAUCCAUCCACUACACCCAUUACAUCCACUCAUUACCAAACACUCAUCCACUACACCCAUUACAUCCACACAUUACCACAACACUCACCCACUACACCCAUUAUAUCCAUUCAUUACAACUCCAUACACUCCUCUCCCUAGCCUAUAAAUACAUCUAACCUUCACCAUAAUUCGGGGGCCAUCAUCCAAAGACACUACAUUUCACAUCUCACAACUUCAUUCACAAACACAAUUUCCUUGCCGUGACCUCCAUCCAUUCAUCUAGCCAUACUACAUCUCACCAAUCCAUACACUUUCAUCUCUUAGCUGUGCAAAUCCAUUCCAUCCAUAUCUCCAUACACAUCCUAGACACUUGUGCUACAACAAGGUGGUGAAAACAAAGAUCCUUGGCAUUUCAAGCUUGGAACUUUGGAGCGUUUUAGGUGUAC
rnacentral:lncRNA from 1 species